rnacentral:rRNA from 1 species
GUGGGUAGUUUGACUGGGGCGGUCUCCUCCUAAAGAGUAACGGAGGAGCACGAAGGUUGGCUAAUCCUGGUCGGACAUCAGGAGGUUAGUGCAAUGGCAUAAGCCAGCUUGACUGCGAGCGUGACGGCGCGAGCAGGUGCGAAAGCAGGUCAUAGUGAUCCGGUGGUUCUGAAUGGAAGGGCCAUCGCUCAACGGAUAAAAGGUACUCCGGGGAUAACAGGCUGAUACCGCCCAAGAGUUCAUAUCGACGGCGGUGUUUGGCACCUCGAUGUCGGCUCAUCACAUCCUGGGGCUGAAGUAGGUCCCAAGGGUAUGGCUGUUCGCCAUUUAAAGUGGUACGCGAGCUGGGUUUAGAACGUCGUGAGACAGUUCGGUCCCUAUCUGCCGUGGGCGCUGGAGAACUGAGGGGGGCUGCUCCUAGUACGAGAGGACCGGAGUGGACGCAUCACUGGUGUUCGGGUUGUCAUGCCAAUGGCACUGCCCGGUAGCUAAAUGCGGAAGAGAUAAGUGCUGAAAGCAUCUAAGCACGAAACUUGCCCCGAGAUGAGUUCUCCCUGAGACUUAGAGUCUCCUGAAGGAACGUUGAAGACGACGACGUUGAUAGGCCGGGUGUGUAAGCGCAGCGAUGCGUU